rnacentral:lncRNA from 1 species
AUUAACUUUGUCCCAUUUUUACAGACACAGAGACUGAGGACUGAAGAUUAGUGAUCUUCCCAAGCAAGCCCAGCUAUGAUGAGGUGGGUUGCCCUGGACAAAUGUGUCUGACAUAGAAAUCUAUGUUCUCAAGCACCUGGUGAAGUGCUGGCAGAGGCCUAAACCUAAAACUCAAAUGUGACCCCUCCCCACCAGCAUGCACCUGGUUGCCUCUCCAUUGGCCCUUCAUAGCAAGUUUGGUGUAGUGACACGGGCACUAGUCCUUGAGCAAAAUUACCAGAAUCCAAACUGGCUCUGCCACCUCCUGGCUGUGGGCCUGGGAUCUUUCCUACGUCUCUGUUUCUUCAUUUGUAAAAUGAGGCUGAUGGUAGUAACAGUGUCUACCUCUCCGGGUUGCCAAGAGAAUUACAUGAAUGAAGGCCUCAAAGUAAUACUUGAUAAGAACUCAAAAAGAAACCUCUCCGUGAAAAGCUGUAGAGGAUGAAGCAGUUAAUCCCACCACCUCUAGCUCAGGAUGAGAGAGCAACUCACACAUCCCUCUUAGAAGACCAAACUCUGGCCGGUUUUCUGCAUGCCUGGUGCUCCUUGCAGAAACAGAGCCUUCCUGCCUACCUCUGGAAUCCUGGGGCCUCAGGUGGUGCCCAGUCCACAGUAGGAACACAAUAGGAGAUGAGUGAGUAGGGGAGAAGUGAGCAGUUGGAUAUGGCAAGUUAGAAACAGUCCAGCCUCCAGUGGGGCACUCUGCUUACCUACACUUAGGUAAACCCAAAUCCUCAAAGCUCACAAGGCCUUGAAAACUCCCAAUUCCAUGAAUCCUGAUUACAAACAACCCCGAGGAACCAUUUAGCUCCCCGAAGACCAACAGAAUCUGUGUACAAUGUGGGAGGAGAGAAACUCCGGAGCGUGGCCCAGGAAGACAGGUGGCAACCCUAGAAAUGCUGCAAUGCCUGUUGAAGCCCCUUCCCCCUGAACUGGCCGACAAUUUUCCUUCCAUAUACAUUAAAAGCAUAGUCUGUAUUUUGACCUGAUGGAAAAGAUAUAGACAGGAUCUGGGACAAAGCCACCAAAUCUUUUGUUCCCUUGGACACUCGAUAGAAUAAAUGUUUUCCACGUCACACAGAAGAAUGUUAAGUGCUUUGUUUCUGCAGAAGUGGAACAGAGAUAGUGGGAGCAUCUGUCAAAACCCCCAAAAUGCUUUAAUGUGGUGGCAGCUGGCUGGGAGGAGCAGGAGCCCAGUUCCCUAAAAGCCAAUAGUUCUGGAAAUGGAGGAGGGCUGUUUGAACCAGCGCGUUAACAUCACCCAGGAGCUUGUUAGAAAGGUACAUUCUCAAGUCCCUCCCAGGACCAACUGAGUCAGAAAUUCUAGGGCUGAAGUCCAGGAAUCUGUGUUUUAACAAUCCCUCCAGGUAAUUCUGAAGUUUGAGAACCGGUGGAAUAAGGCCAGGGAACUCACACAAGGCCACAGCUCUUAGGUGACCUAAAAAAAAGUGGACGACAGCUGAGGAGCCACCAUGCCUGGUGUGGCCAGGCCUGUACUGAAGCAGCUGAGGGCGCGUCCACGCCCGUCAAACCAUCCCGGGCACCCCGUCUCACCACCAGCCUCUCCCCGACGUCUGUUGUGACUUGACCUAUGCUCGUGGCACAGGGAAAGGGCUGUGGCCUCUCAGGCUCCCAGGCUAUUAUUAGUUCCAAUCCGCACAAAUCUACCAGUGCUAAAGGGAAGCUUCUGCGAACUUUGGAAGGUGGAUUAACUGUUUCAGAGCAGCAGCUGCGGGCCCAGAUAGUUGUCGGAGCCGCUAGACACAGCCAAGCGCUUCCCUGAAAGCCAAGGCCGGCGGCGAGCUGGUGGUCCCGCCGGCCG